AGAGUUUGAUCCUGGCUCAGAACGAACGCUGGCGGCAUGCCUAACACAUGCAAGUCGAACGGAUCGUAGCAAUACGGUCAGUGGCGAACGGGUGAAUAACGCGUGGGAACCUACCUCGGAGUUCGGAAUAACCGUGGGAAACUGCGGCUAAUACCGGAUACGGCCUGAGGGCGAAAGGAGCAAUUCGCUCCGGGAGGGGCCCGCGUCCGAUUAGCUAGUUGGUGGGGUAAUGGCCUACCAAGGCGAUGAUCGGUAGCUGGUCUGAGAGGAUGAUCAGCCACACUGGAACUGAGACACGGUCCAGACUCCUACGGGAGGCAGCAGUGGGGAAUAUUGGACAAUGGGGGAAACCCUGAUCCAGCAAUGCCGCGUGGGUGAUGAAGGCCUUCGGGUUGUAAAGCCCUUUUGGCGGGGAAGAUGAUGACGUACCCGCAGA
rnacentral:rRNA from 1 species